rnacentral:rRNA from 1 species
AACAAACGCUGGCGGCGUGCCUAAUACAUGCAAGUCGAACGGGGAAAGCUUUCGGGUGAGUACUAGUGGCGCACGGGUGAGUAACGCGUGGAUAAUCUGCCUUAGAGUGGGGGAUAACUAAUCGAAAGAUUAGCUAAUACCGCAUAAGACCACAAGAACUGCGGUUCAAGGGGUCAAAGGUUUUUCGCUCUAAGAUGAGUCCGCGUAAGAUUAGCUAGUUGGUAGGGUAACAGCCUACCAAGGCGACGAUCUUUAACUGGUCUGAGAGGAUGAUCAGUCACACUGGAACUGAGACACGGUCCAGACUCCUACGGGAGGCAGCAGUAGGGAAUAUUGCACAAUGGAGGAAACUCUGAUGCAGCGACGCCGCGUGAGUGAUGAAGGCCUUCGGGUCGUAAAGCUCUGUCGCAGGGGAAUAACACAAUGAAGGUACCCUGUAAGAAAGGAUCGGCUAACUUCGUGCCAGCAGCCGCAGUAACAC